rnacentral:rRNA from 1 species
UACGUAGGGGGCAAGCGUUGUCCGGAUUUAUUGGGCGUAAAGAGCGUGUAGGCGGUCUGGUAGGUCCGUUGUGAAAACUCGAGGCUCAACCUCGAGACGCCGAUGGAAACCCUCAGACUAGAGUCCGGAAGAGGAGAGUGGAAUUCCAUGUGUAGCGGUGAAAUGCGCAGAUAUCGGGAGGAACACCGGUGGCGAAGGCGGUUCUCUGGGCCUGUACUGACGCUGAGGAGCGAAAGCGUGGGGAGCGAACAGG